CCCAGGCCCAGAGAGGACUCAUGACGUUCUCGGAGAUGCAGCACUUGUGGGUGUUAGGGCUGGGAUUAGAACCCAGGCAGUCUCAAACCAUGAGUUGUGUCACCUUCCUGGAGUCACCACUCCUCCUGCGGGGACAGUUGUGUUUGUGGAGUGAUAGCCCCACUCAACCUGCCCACUGGAGGGGAGCAAGGUGGAGGUUCCUGGGUGUGUACUCUCCAACGCCGGUGUGCUAGUGAAAUGUAAUUCAACUAGAAUGUAUUCAGGAGGUGCAUAGCAGAGAGGGUGCUUUCUCCCUCCCCUCCCUCCCUCUCUCCCUCCCUCUCCUUCCUUUCUUCCUUCUUUCUUUCCUUCCUUUCAAUACUGGGGAUCAAACUCAGGACCUUCUGCUUGUGAAGCAGGUGUGGCACUACUGAGCUAAAUCCCCAGCCCGCCUCAACCCUUUUUAUAUUUUUUGUCUUGAGACAGCCUUCCCGCUAAGUUACCCAGGCUAGGUUGAAUUUACAAUCAGAGGGCUGGGGUCACAGGCGUGCCCACUACAUCCUGCUUCGUAAGCUGUCUGAGCCUCAGCCAUCCUGAGUGUACGGCAGGAGGAGACGCACCCACCUCACAGGUGUGGGAAGGGCUCGGCAAGGCCCCGUGGGUGACAAGACCAGCAAUGCGACAGGUGCCGGGAAAAAUGGUGCGGUGACAAAGCCCUGCAUUAAACAGCCAGUGCCCUAGUGUGGGGGGACAGACAAAAACAAGAAAAUGAGCUGGGCAUGGUGGCCUACAACUAUUAUCUCAGCACCCUAGUGGGCUGAUACCGGAGGAGCACAAAUCCGAGUCCAGCCCGGGGAACUCUGCAAUUUAGCAAGACCCCGUCUCAAAAAGAGGGGGCUGGGGAUGUAAAUUGAUGUGAAGAUCCUGGAUUCAAUUCUCAGUACUGCAACAAACAAACAAACAAACCAACCAACCAACCAACCAAACAAAGCAAACUAACACCUCCCCACCCUGGGAAAAUGAACGCAGAAAAACAAGACCCGCUAGGAAGCAGAAAGGAGACGUCAUUUGUGGGGAUUGCUAUCGUGGCUGGUGGGAAACAAAAAAGACGCAAGACUGGUCUCCCUUCAAACCACUGCUCAUCCCGCCGCCUCGUUUAGCCUGUCCCAUCUCCGUCCGCACAACAGCUCCUCUCGGCUUCCGGCUGACAAGGGAAAGGAGGACCCUGGAGAGCUGGGCCGGCUCCGAGGGGCUGGGACCUUGCUCUGUGGCCCGGGGACGCCUUCCCUGCACCCUCUGUGGCUCUCGGCUUUGCCGCUUCCGGCCAGCAGCCUCUGAGCUUCCCAUCUUGAGAGGCUGUGGCUCACAUCUCCAAGAAUUAAAAUUCAGGAAGCCAAGUAUUAAAAAAAGAAUCAAGCUUCUAACGUUGCCUAACUAAACUUGAGUCAUUCACAAUACCACCUGUGUGAUUUUUUUUGCUAUAUCUAUAUCCAGGUUCUAUUUUUACUUAAUAUACAGCCAACUCAUUCUUAAAUUAAAUCAGUGUAUUUUAAACAGGAAAUUUUAUAUCACUAC
rnacentral:lncRNA from 1 species